rnacentral:lncRNA from 1 species
UUAAUAUACUGUAUUUUGCUUGCUAUACACAGUUUUUAUGAUUAAAAAUCAUUAGCAAGAGUCAGGCUAUAUAUUAAAAACGAGUUCACACACUGGAGGGAAUGGAUCGAGGAAGAUUGUUCUAAAAUGGUUUCUAAAGUACCGUUAAAUUAAUUCAAUAAUUUGAUAGUUGUUUCUGGUUUUAUACCCUUUGCUGCUUUUAACUGUUAUAAAAUUCUGCUUUUUGGCAGGUCUUUUGAUUGUCUGAGUAUUGAAAAGCUGACUCCUUUACAUCAUCUGCUGUAAAUUAGCCUUGUUUGUUAACUUCAGAAUGCUGAGGAUCUGAGCUAUCAGUUCCUUCUGUGAAUUGUAACCUGCUGAAUCAUGUGCUGUGAUGGGUUGGGCAUCCUAAUAAAGGAGUUCAUUUAUUUAAAUCAGCCUGGCAGUUUAUGCAGCAUAGGUAUGUCUGUGAGCUUGAUCUCAUAGGCUCGAGAGUGAACUGAAACAGAAAAACUGAGAUAGAUAGAGAAGGAAAGGUUUGUUUUGACUGAUCUGCUUAUCUUAGUGGUAUGGAGAAGACAUAAAGUAGCUGGAAUUGUGGAAUUGGCCAGUGGUGAAUCAUCUUGUGUUGGCAAAAGCCAAUGGAGAUAACCUAUCUGCUUCCUGCAGCCACCGCUUGCAACCCCAGCAACAUCCCUCUGACAGACCCACAGGCAGGCGGUGCCUUUAUGGAGGUAAUACCACUGAGGAACUUCUGGAUGCCAUUUGGGAAUCAAAGUGGAGAAAGAAGCAUAUAGUUGUGGAAGAGCCAUAGGAACACUGC